rnacentral:rRNA from 1 species
AUACGGAGGGUGCAAGCGUUGUUCGGAAUCACUGGGCGUAAAGGGCGCGCAGGCGGUUUUACAAGUCAGAUGUGAAAGCCCACGGCUCAACCGUGGAAGUGCAUUUGAAACUGUAAGACUUGAGUAUCGGAGGGGAAGGUGGAAUUCCCGGUGUAGAGGUGAAAUUCGUAGAUAUCGGGAGGAAUACCGGUGGCGAAGGCGACUUUCUGGCUGAAUACUGACGCUGAGGCGCGAAAGCGUGGGGAGCAAACAGGAUUAGAAACCCUAGUAGUCC